CAGUCGCCGCGGGAAUACGGAGGAUCCAAGCGUUAUCCGGAAUCAUUGGGUUUAAAGGGUCCGUAGGCGGUCUUGUAAGUCAGUGGUGAAAGCCCAUCGCUCAACGGUGGAACGGCCAUUGAUACUGCAGGACUUGAAUUAUUGGGAAGUAACUAGAAUAUGUAGUGUAGCGGUGAAAUGCUUAGAGAUUACAUGGAAUACCAAUUGCGAAGGCAGGUUACUACCAAUUGAUUGACGCUGAUGGACGAAAGCGUGAGUAGCGAACAGGAUUAGAUACCCCCGUAGUCCCUGUCUCUUAUAC
rnacentral:rRNA from 1 species